GUGACAGAGCUGGGAUUUUAGAACUGAAGUUCUCUUGUUCCCAGGCCCAGGUUCUUUCCAUGAGGUCAUGUUGUAUUUUCUGAUUUUAAUAAUACUGUUUAAUCACAUUUGUUAUUACCCGAUAUAGACUAUGUAGGUGGUGAAAUGAUUGUUCAUUCUUUAACUGAAUGCGGGAGAGACAGAAACUAAGAACAAACUAGAAGUUUAAUAACUCUUGUAUUGUCCGUGUUGGCAGUACAGGUAGUGCUGGGAAGUCUGUAAUUAUCUGAAAUUAAGGAUUAUUAUCACUACUCAAGGAACACAUCUUGGAUCUUUUCAGAAGUUUCACUAAAGCGUGGUGGGAAGAGUCAACAACGGACAACCUUCAUUGGACUAACUACAUUGCCAGAGAAGAAAGGGGAGGACACAGGAUCUGGAUCUGGCCAGUAGCAGCCCUGAGUAGUGCCCAGCUAAUGAUCCUUCCACUGUUGGGACUGGAGAAACUUCCCUGAUGAGAGUGUCUGUCCUUGUAUGGGAGACAGUAUUCAUCUGUGGCACUGUGAUAUUCUGUGUAGUCUCAAGCAUUUUUGAAAAGGUUACUCUCACAAAAUGUCCCUUCUCCCCUCUUUUCUCUCCUUUUAUUAUUCUGUGCUGGCAAGCCAUAUAAACCAGUGAGAUUACCACAUUGCAGUACACAAAGGCUAACCAAAUUUGAAGAGAUGGUAUAGUACUAUUUUAUAAUGGCAAAUGCUCCAGGUAGGUAGAGUUGCUUCCAUGGCUGGUGCUGCAUCAUUUCAUAGGAUGGUUCCAGUACUUACUAUACUUGGAUAAAAGUACCUCCAGAUUUAGAUGAUGAAGCUGCCAGGUAUGUUGGGAAAGGAUAAUUUCUUAAUUGCCUGUUUCUUGAUACCAUCUCAUAGAAAAGUCUUGUGGAUAUGUGUAUGUAUUAUUUGUGUGUAUACAGAUCUGCAAGGAUAAAUAGGACACGUGAGUUUGAUAAUCAUUGCCCAUUUCAGAUGUAACACUGCAGAAGUGUGAUUAUGCCCUUGGUUGUAAUAUCAUACUAGACUCAUGAAUGCCCUUCCACCUUUGCUCAUCUCUUAUGAUCUUUUGGCCUAGUGAAGAGAAUUGUUCAGAUAGUAUUGGAAAAGAUGCAUCUUAACAAAAGAGAUUAAAUAAAAUGGUCAAUAAAACAUGCUUUUUCCUA